CUAUGACAGAACAGUGCUCUCAGUGAGAGCAGGGGCAGAGGAUGAGUGCCUGGCAGAACUUACCGAGGACUGGGCUUUGUGCGCCAUGUGAUUGGAAGCCUCAGGGAAGCUUUCUGAGGACACAGUGACAUGUCCAGACUGACAGCUUGACAGGACCCCCGUGGCCACUGUGUUGAGGAGAGCUUGGAAGAGAUGAAGGGCAGAAUGAGGAGCCUGGCUGGGGGCUGCGGCAGUCACCAAGUGAGGACCUCAACUGGGGGUCAUCUUUGUCUUCAUUCCCAUUCUUCACCCCACCCCCACCGAAUCCUCAGGGAGAGCUGGAGAUGUAACUGCAGGAGGGUGCUCCUAGCACCCAGGGCGGGGGUGCGGGUUGUUAAGCACCCCACAGCCUUCAGGACCGCACCAGCUGAGAGGGAGGCUGAGGCUGCCAUGCUCUGAUCUACAUGAAGGUUAGCCGAGUCUGAUUUCUAAGAUGGCCUCUACGCUGAGCGUUUGAGGCAUCCGUUGUCCAAAGGCACCGGUGACGGGCUAUAGUAUACGGUGCUCACUUCCUCAACAUCUUGACUUAGGAAAUAAACCGCUAGCCAGGCUUAUACACUUUUUCAAA